GCUGUCGUCAGCUCGUGUCGUGAAAUGUUGGGUUAAGUCCCGCAACGAGCGCAACCCUUGUCCUUUGUUACCAGCGGUUGGGGGGGGGACUUAACGGAGACUGCCCGUGAUAAAUCGGAGGAAGGCGGGGAUGACGUCAAGUCAUCAUGCCCCUUACGUCCAGGGCUACACACGUGCUACAAUGGGCGGUACAAAGGGAGGCGAACUCGCGAGGCCGAGCGAAUCCCAUAAAGCCGCUCGUAGUCCGGAUUGCAGUCUGCAACUCGCCUGCAUGAAGUCGGAAUCGCUAGUAAUCGCGGA
rnacentral:rRNA from 1 species